GUUUUGUUAGUGUUUUU
rnacentral:sRNA from 1 species